rnacentral:rRNA from 1 species
GACGAACGCUGGCGGCGUGCUUAACACAUGCAAGUCGAACGGAGUUGCGAACGGGUGAGUAACACGUGGGUGAUCUGCCUUGCACUUCGGGAUAAGCUUGGGAAACUGGGUCUAAUACCGGAUAGUGCAAGAUGAGCUGGUGGCCUAUCAGCUUGUUGGUGGGGUAAUGGCCUACCAACGCGUCGAUGGGUAGCCGGCCUGCGAGGGUGUACGGCAACAUUGGGACUGGGAUACGGCCCAGACUCCUACGGGAGGAAGCAGUGGGGAAUAUUGCACAAUGGGCGGAAGCCUGAUGGAGCGACGCCGCGUGGGGGAUGAAGGCCUUCGGGUUGUAAACUCCUUUCGACAGGGACGCGGUACCUGUAUAAGAAGCGCCGGCGAACUACGUGCCAGCAGCCGCGGUAAUUC